CUGCGGCGCGAUAGGAAACUACGGGGCGUACUUGCCAAUGGCAGAAGGGCACGGAGGAGCCCAGACGACGGCGAAAAUGGCGAGCGACUGUGCAGCAGCCUCAGGCGGGGAGCAGCAAGCAGGGUGCGACGCCGUGCAAAUGAACAGGGGCGAGGGGCUGGCGAGCUCGGGCAGGGGAAGGAAUGCUCCGUUGGCAUGACUUUUAUAGAAGGGGGAGAGGAAGAGGCGGCCGGGACUUCAAUCGACCAUCAAUGGCGUUUAUGGAGCUUCAAUGAGAGAGUAAAUGGGGGAGAGAAGGGGGAAGAAAGAAACGUCGCAGUGAAGUUCCUUAACGCAGAAGAAACGGACGGCGCACUCGGGCUUCGCGCGGGGUCGGUCAGUGCAGGAGGCAGGGCGUCGCGCGCGUGCUCGGGGUCGGCUCUGCUGGCGCUCGGCUCGCGCAGGGCGCGCAGGGGUCCGGACGCCGGUCGGGGUCGCCUGCUUGGUCUCCUGGGCGUGGUGUGCGCGUGUCUGGGUGCUGCUGGCGUUUGGGAGAGAGUCGUGAGGGAGAUAGAAUAG
rnacentral:misc_RNA from 1 species